GCCGCCGUCCCUGCCACCCCUCGCAGCCGCCCAUUGUUGCCGGCGGGGCCGGUGCGGGCGCGGGGCGAGGCCGCCUCUCGCGGGCCUGCCCGGCCGCCUCUGCCGGAGCCUGCCGCCCGCCUUGCCGGGACUGCGGGAACACCCAGCGCCGCAUCCACCGGCCGCCGUCCCGCCCUGCCCGGGUCCUGCUCCGGCCCUUGGAGGGGCACGGCUCACUGCUGCUGCCGGAGGUCUGAGCCCGUGGAUUCAGCAUGGAGAGCCCUCAUCUCCAGCAGCCAGCUGCAGCAGACCACUGGGAAAAGGGAAUAGUGAUGGCGAGAUUCACCAGUGCCUCUUCCACAGCUGCAUAUCAGCCUGGAUGUAGUCACCCUGUCAGGAGUGUAAAAUCUACAGCAGAAAUUAUUUUAAUGCUGGAAAAGCUCUUACUCGUCUGAACCAUCAUUCAAAAUGCACAGUGAAAGUUGCCAAGCAGAAGUUUUCCAUCCCACUGUCUGCAGGACUCCUGCAGGUCUUCUUAUGCUUAAGCAUAUCUGUCUCAGGCUGCCCCUAAAAAGAAAAAAGAAAAAGAAGUAAUCUGGCAAAAUGAACUCAGAACACACAAAGAGGAACCACUGGAGAUUAAUCUGCAAGGUACUCAGGUGUUGCUGUUGAGCAGAAAUUGGAAGGAAACUGUGAGGGUCAAUAGAUUGAGAAAAUGGUCCUGCCCAUCAUCGCAGGAAUCCAUAAACCUCACCACUGUGGGACAGGAGUGACCAGCAGUGACCAGCUUCACUGCCUUAGGAGCAUCCCCAUUAGCUGUAUUUUUCACAUAAGUUUUGCUGAUAACAUGCAAAUCAGAAUCUGUUAACCAUUGGCUGUUCCAGAUAUGAUGUCAAAGCCAGCAAGGGAGACUUCAUGUAGUAUGACUCAAAACGAGAACUAUUUUGUCCUUUUCUUUUGCUUCCUUCGUGCCCACCUCUCUUAGAAACAGAAAGAAUGACUUACUGGGGAGCCAAGCUAAAAACAAAAGAAGUGAAGAUUGGUCAUCUUUGCAGAGGAAAUUACAAGGUCUUUCUCAGAAGAAACAGCGGCAGAAUGUGGAAUCAGUUGUGUGGAAUUCCUGUUGGCAACACCUUUGACCCUCGACUUCUGCUAGAUCCAGCUGAGUGAUCAAAGAGAGAACUUUUGCAGAUCCCCACAGCAGUGAUGCUGAAAGCCAGGGCAGAUGGCUUCUAUCUCCCUGCAGUGUGACCAAGUGACCUCAGGGUGAGACUUGCUGAGUGAAACAACUCUCCUUGAUCUGUGUGGGGCUGAUGGAUGCAGCAUUUAUUGUGCUCUUUAAUUAACUAGCAAAAGGUUAGUUCACUGAUUAAGGUAGGGUGUUUGUUUUAAAAGUUUGUUUAUUUAUGAAAGCAGUGUUUAUAGUAGAAUACAGACUGAUAUCUCAGUUAUUCCCACUUUAUAUCUGCCCUGAAUAGGAAGUGCUGUUGUCUAUCAAACCAGGUGGCAGGGAAUAAAAACCCCCUCAAACACAGCAUAAGUUUGAGGCUACAGAAGCUGAUGCUGUAGGGGCAGUUCUGCUAAUCCCCCUAACCAAGGUCUGUGUGGUACAGUGGGGUGUGUUUAUUUGGUCAUCAAUUCAGAGCUGGGUUACUGCUCUGUUAGGAGUAUUGCUGAGUAGACUUCAGUUUCUCUGUCUUGACAAAUUCAUUGCUCAGUCUUUGGGGUUUACCUAUGCAGAACUUGGGAAAUUCACUUAGAGAACCUCAGCUCUUCCCCAUUAGGAUAAUGAAGAAGUAUCUGGAAGCAAAUUAAACAAUCCCUCUAAGUCAGCAUCCAUUCUAAGUCACAGUGAUGCCUUUCCCAAAGUGACAAGCUGGUUUGAUAAGGUACAGUCAUGUAGGAGCUGGAAGUACACAAGUGCAGUUAUUAAAAAUGAAUGCUGUAUCCUGUUUCCCUUGUGUAUCUUGUCACUGACAUGACUUCACAAGUUGCAAAUCUAUUAAACAUUUCAAACGUGGAACUGGAGCUCAUUAAGCAGAACGUUGACUGGUAUAUAGCAAAAUGUUUCAAAUUCAAGACUGCUAACAUUUGUCUCCAGAGUUUUUUGUCUUCUAGGUUGUCACUAAGCAAUCCAGCUGUCUGGGCAUGCAGCCUGUGCUUCCUGUGAUCAGAAUGUGACUGUCCUUUGGGGUGAGGUAGUAGGUUGUAUAGUUUUAGGGCUAUGCCCUGCCUGUCAGAUAACUAUACAAUCUACUGUCUUUCCUGAAGUGGCUGUGAUGUCAGCGCUGGAUGUCUCCAAAAGACAACACAGAUGUUUUUCAACUGUACCAUUCUCUGGCUCUGUCUCCAUGUUUGGUUCUUGUACACAAAUGUCCUCAGAGUGUUUAGAUUUCUGUAUUUCCCAUUCAGGCUCAAAAGUAAUUUCCUUCUGGCAUUUUUGGGGAGCAGGUGGGGUGUGAGUGCCAGGACACAGAGGUACAGCCCAGUCCACAGUGGAUGUGCUCAGGCACAGCUGUCUGGCACUGCCAUGGGAGUGGCAUCUUGCAAACAGCUGAUCCAACUCUCCCUUGUUUUCUGGCAUCUGUGUUCAUAUUAAACAUAAAAUGGUACUUUUCAUUCAGCAGCUGUUUAAAUCCACUUGGUGGAGGCUGUUUGAGAAACUCCAAAGGGAUGAGCUGGACAAAACCCUGGGAGGAUGUCUUCCCACUCGGUCGUGUUCUGCCCUGGAAAUGGUAAAUUCUUGAACCCUAAGGAAGAGGUCUCUUCAGUCAGUUUGGGGCACUGAUUCAACUUGCUUUUUUAUUACAUAUUUCUAGUUUGGGAGGGACAGUGUUUGUCACUGCAGUUCUCCUGUCUCUGCAGUCCCUGCACCAGUUCUGACUCCCAGGCAGAGUUGUGGGGAAGGGCUGAGGUCCCACGUGGCCUUUCUUAGGCUAAGAAAUGUGUGGGCUGGAGAGUGAUGAGGUAAUUUACUUACAAAUGGUGAAAUGUUUCCUCCAGAAGAUGCACGUGAUGCUCUAACAGGAUGAGGUAGUAGGUUGUGUGGUUUCAGGGUAGUGAUUUUGCCCCAAUCAGGAGAUAACUAUACAACCUACUGCCUUCCCUGAUAGGCAGCAUAACAACCUCAGUGUCUUAAUUCACAGAGAAACAAGAGCUAAAAUACACUCCUGAGAUAUACUUCUGAGACCUGCAAAGUAAGUCUAGAUACAAUUGUUGCUAUCCUGUCCCUAAUAGCUCUAAAUUUAGAUUUUAAGUGUAGAUUUUUUAUAACUGCCUGCAAAAUAAUUACCUUUUUUAAAGUCUUUAUCAUGAAAAAAUUAAUUAAAGAAGUUUUAUUUAUUUCAAA